GUAAAGAGAGCUGACAUAUUUUCCCAGGCUAGAAACAGAAAUUGCAUUAAUGUGCUAAUUGCAAUCAGGACUAUAUCACUUUGCCUUUUUAUUGCAUUCAGAGUUUUGUUACCCUAUAUUAAAAAUCAUACACCACUCUUCAUUUCCCUAAAUAUUUUAAUUGGUAUAUUUUAGUCUGGAUGUGUGUACAUUCUCUGUUCCCUCCCAUCUGGGUGUAAUUUUCCAUCGUCUCCCCCUGAUGAUCUGCAUUUUCUCCUUCAAGUCCCUCCUGUAAACCCACUUCUGUGGAUCUUGCUUUCACAUUAUGCCAUUAAAAGAUCCAGCUGGAAGGAAGUGCCUCUGAAUGGAGUCCAAGAGAAGAAACAAAGAAGAUGGAAACCAGAUGCCAUUGAAGUCAUCCCCAUAUGGAGCAGCAAGAGGGGAUUCAGAAACCUUCGUCCCCUCCCCAAGAUCUGAUCUAUUAAGAAAAUAAGAUGUCUCCCUGGGAGAGCUAAGGCUUGUUGUAUGGUAUUUGGCAUUCCACAGUGAAGCCCUCUGUUUUUGGUGUUUUGAGGUGAAAAGAAAGUCAUUUGCAUGAUUCUCUGUACUUGCAUCCUAAAGGGAAGCUUGUGGUUGACACAUCCCACCCAUGUACACAGCCAGCCACCAACCUCAGAUAUGCUUACUGAGGAGACACACCUACUCAGUGGCAGGGAGCUGCACCUGACACCUAGCCACCGUUGUUAAUUACCUAGCCCUUCAUUCAUAAAUAUAAACAAAUAGCAUGAAUGAUUGAGUUGACAGAGUGGAAAUGGGGCAUGAAAGAGAACUGUUAUACAUGUGGUGUCAAAGGAUACUAUCUAACACCAAAGACUCAAGAAAUAAAACUGUAAGUCUAUUGUUUAAAGUUAUAAUUGUCACUGUGGUUUGCCAUCUCACAUCCAUUUCCCCUAUAUGUAGCUAGCAGAACCCUAACCUUCAUUUGAAGUAAGCCUUCCUUCUCCACUCUUAGCUCACAUGCUUUGGCAAAUGUGAAUGUAAUUCUACACCCAUGAUGGAAUAUGGGACCUAGGUCUAGGCCAAAGUGUACAACCUAUGCCCUUGGCCACAUCACUUGUUUUGAAAUGAGCAAGCCAACCCCAUCUGCUUAAGUGGUAUAGAAAAUUAUUGUGCAGAAAUAUUCUCUGCCUCCUUCUCACUUUCAUGGGAGGAGAGUACGUCUCCAUUCGGUUGAUUUGGGGUACAGUCAUGUGACUUUCUUUGGCUAAUGAGAUGUUAGCAGACAUGACACAGCAUAGGGUACACAUGUUUGUGCAGCUGGUCUUGCACUCUUGUGCCUCUGUCAUCACCAUGAGAAUAUGCUUGGGAUGGGUCACCGGUCUCAGGAAAGAAGAUAAGAGACAUAUGGAACAGGGCUGAGCUACACUAGCCCAGAAGCGUAAGAAAGAUCAGCAGAGCUGUCCAUACAAGCCCAGCCUAAAUUAGCUGACCCCCAGCUGAGCUCAGAAGUGUGAGCAGCUCCUACUAAGAUCAGCAGAACCCCCAACAAGCCCAAUCUAGAUCAUCUGACCUCAGCCAACCCACACAUACACAUGUUAAGUAAAUGCUUAUUGUUGUAAUCACUGAGUUUGUGUGUGUGUGUGUGCAUGUGUGCGCACGUGUGUGUGUUUUAACUGAGCAUCAUUGUGGUCACAGCUAAAUAGCAUUACAAGAAAGACAGAUGCUUACUUUCCUGCUAGUCUAGAAUCUAAGAGGAUAUGAAACCAGAGCUACAGCUGUGGUCACCACAUAGAACUUGAAGAUGAAGUGUGCAGACUGAGGACAGCUGAGCUGAAAUCGAGUCCCGCUCACAUUGAGCUCUCAAUUUAGCCUGGUCUAAUGCCAGUUCUGCCUCUGAUCUUGUUUAUAUGAGCCAGUAAAUUCCUUUUGUAUUGCUGAAAUCAGAUGGAUUUGGCUUUUUCUAUCCAACUUGCAAUCAGAAGAAUCUUAACUAAUACCAAAGUAUACAGGUAACCAAUGAUAGAAAUAAAUUCAUAAAAAUGAGAAGAGAGGGGUGGGGGAGUGGCGUACACAAAAUAAUUUCUCAUCUUACACGGCAUGGACAACAUAAUGUUCAAUUCAGUAAAUCAAGAAAUAUAAAUAUAGGCAUGUUUUAUGGAGAUGAUCAUGGGAAAGGACUGAAAUAAGAAAUAAAGUUGGUUUUACUGGGACAGAGAAUAUGACCAAGGGAUGAGGUGUUCAUUUUUUUUUUUAUCUUAUGGAGAUCUGUGGUGUCCCAUGGGUGGCC
rnacentral:lncRNA from 1 species